rnacentral:rRNA from 1 species
UGUAAGCGUCUACCAAAGUUGUUGCAGUUAAAACGCUCGUAGUCGGAAUUUGGCAGUUCCGGAUGUGUGCACGUCGUGUGCGCACUUCGCGGGGAUUGCUUUUGUGGUCUUGCGUAGGAUGAGGCACUUUUAUUAGUGAACGUCCUCACGCAACCACUUUUUACUGUGAGAAAAUCAGAGUGCUCAAAGCAGGCAUUUGCCGUGAAUGUAUUAGCAUGGAAUAAUAGAAUAGGACUUGGUUCUAUUUUGUUGGUUUGUUGGGACUGAGUAAUGAUUAAGAGGGACAGUUGGGGGCAUUUGUAUUUCGGUGCUAGAGGUGAAAUUCUUAGAUUACCGAAAGACAAACUGCUGCGAAAGCGUCUGCCAAGGAUGUUUUCAUUGA